ACUCAAGAAAAGGAUUUUAGUCCAACCUAAAGCUUUAACUUAUUUGCAAAAAUUUUCCUCAGGCUUUAGAGCAAUUCAAAUAAGGUACAGCCUAUUUGAAACAGGAUACAACCUCAAUUGAUGGGUAAUAAACCUUCUUGCUCAACUAAGUAGGCCUAAAAGCAGCCACCUUUAAAAAAGCGUCAAAGCUUGAUUGAAAAAUCAAAUUAAUUCCUCUAAUCUCUUCUAACCCUCUCUUUAUAUUGAGUAAUUCUAUAUCCCUAUAGAACAUAUUAUGUUAAAACUAGUAACAAGAAGCUAAACCUUCUCUUAAGUGUAUGUGUACACCAGAUAGGAUAAACCACUGGUAAUUAACGUCCAUGAAACCCCAUUAGUAACUUUUCCCAAGAAAACCCUAAUUACCUUCCACGUUAACCUGACACAAGAACACCACAAGAAAGAUUAAAAGAAAAAGAAGGAACUCGGCAAAUUUUAACCCCGCCUGUUUACCAAAAACAUCGCCUCUUGAGUAAAAAUAAGAGGUCUAGCCUGCCCAGUGACCACAGUUCAACGGCCGCGGUAUCCUAACCGUGCGAAGGUAGCGUAAUCACUUGUUCUUUAAAUGAGGACUAGUAUGAAUGGCAUCACGAGGGUUAUACUGUCUCCUUUUUCCAAUCAGUGAAACUAUUCUCCCCGUGAAGAAACGGGGAUACUUUUAUAAGACGAGAAGACCCUAUGGAGCUUUAAAUUUUAUUCCAAUUGCUUACUUAUACAGCCUGUACCAACUUCUUACACUCAACUAAGCAUAAUGCUAAUAAAUUUUAGGUUGGGGUGACCGCGGAGCAUAAAAAAACCUCCGCACAGAGCAAGCCUUAAGCCUUGAACAAAGAGCUACAACUCCAAGUACUAACACAUUAACAUCCAUUGACCCAAUACCCUUGAUCAACGAACCAAGUUACCCUAGGGAUAACAGCGCAAUCUACUUUAAGAGCCCCUAUCGACAAGUAGGUUUACGACCUCGAUGUUGGAUCAGGGUAUCCCAGUGGUGCAGCCGCUACUAAAGGUUCGUUUGUUCAACGAUUAAAACCCU
rnacentral:rRNA from 1 species